CUAUAGUAAAGUUUGAGAGUAUUCUGACCAUGUUUUGGAAUCUGCAUAAUCCAACAGUUAAAACAUCAUCACAGUACAGAUCAAGAAUAUUUUUGAGUUCAGCAGACAAGUUAGAAGAGGCAGAAAAAAGUUUAGCAGAGCAGAGAAACAAAUCCUCAAAAUCAGUUUUGACAGAGGUUGAAAUCCUGAAUAAAUUCUACGUAGCUGAGAAAAAACAUCAAAAAAAUGCAUUGAGACAACAUUCUUCUAUUUUGUUAACUUUGAAAAACUCCAAUGUAAAGUUUGAUGAGCUUUUGAAUAUGAAUCUGGAAGAAAUGAACAAAGAAGAUUUGGCACAAUUUUAUCUUGUGACAAAACUGAACGGAUUUCUCGCGCAUUUUCCCGCCAAUGGAGCUGUACGCAUGUUCAACCAAUCCUAUAAACAGCUGGGCAUAAAUAACAAAAUGGCGGAAUAUAUUAGAAACUGUUUGAUAAAAAAGUCCUAAUAAUUUUUUUGUUAUUUUCUUCAAACAUUGAAAAUUUCUGAUUUAACUUUGGCAAUACCCUUAUUUUCUUGGAAUAAUGGUGGAUUAUAUAUUUAUUUGAGUUUUGGGUUAAUUUCUAUUAAAAACUGUCUGAUUAAAAAGUUAUUUUCUUCAAACAUUAAAAAUUACGAAUUUAACUUUGGCAAUACCCUUAUUUACUUGGAAUAAGGUGGAUUAUAUAUUUACAUAUACAUUUCAAGAUUCUCAUUUGUUUAAUAUGAUCUAAAAAGAGUCUUUAUAUGGCACAACUUUCUAAAUUAUUUAGUUUCAUCCCUCAUAUGCUUUAACUCUGCUAUACAAAAGUAGUUACUAAGUCCACAGUUGCAAUGCCUUUAACAUUAUGUUUUGUUUUAAAUUCACAGCUUUUACAUUUUUGGUUAAAAUUAUUUCGCGAAUAAAGAAAAUUAUUUGCAAACAUUUUUUCAAAAUUAUCUUUAUGAAAUUACAUUUUUCAACUGAGCCUAGACCAGAGAAGUGUGAUAGAUAAUUCCAGAUAAUUUAACUUAUAAAUUAAAUAUAUAUUGUGAAAAGAAAAUAUUUUUUUUUAUUAUAAUUUAUGUAGAUAAAAUAUGUAGAAUAUUAUACAUAUGACCAAUAAAUCCAUGGGGGAGGCUCUUUUAAUAUUACAUCUGCUUGCAUUUCCCUUCCUCAGGU